rnacentral:lncRNA from 1 species
ACUCCAGGGCUGCAUCCGAGGACUGUUCAUGGAAUACUGCUUCAGCUAUCAAAAUUUUUAUAACGGUAUUUAUUGCCGCUAAAUUCUGAUAGGAUCCUCGGUUCGAGGUCACGUGAAUUAUUUAAAAAUUUAAAUUUUUUUAUUAAAAAUUAUUUAAAAAAAAUAUAAAAAUGAGAACUUUAUAUAUCUCCCUUAAAAAAAAUUUCUUUAUCCCUCCUCUUUUGUUUUCUUAUAUAACGCCGGCGUCUGUUGUUGUCCUCUAAUCUCUGUCUUUAAACUUAUAGAAAUAUGAAAGUUACCAUAUUUAGAUAAAUUUAAUCGACAGUUAUUAUGACUCACGAUAUCUCAGUUAUGAGCAGUUGACAUCCGUAUCAUAUAUCGUAACCAUUCGUUGACCAUCGAUCUUUCAGAUCGUGCGUUACGAUUUUUUCUCAAAUUCUCGACCAUUAAUCAAAUAGGACAAUCAGUUGAAUAUUGAUAUAAUCAUCGAUUUAUAAAUGACCAUAUUGCCAAAUAAGUCAUUUGAUCAGCAUCGGGUUGAAAUCAUUGAUCGUCAUCUGAAUAGAAUUGGCAAUGCAGCUGAUAUUCGGCCAU